rnacentral:tRNA from 1 species
GCGGGAAGAGCUCAGUGGUAGCGCACAACCUUGCCAAGGUUGGGGUCGCGAGUUCGAGCCUCGUUUCCCGCUCCA